UGGUGCAGUGAUGAUGCCUUAAGAUUGUGGUUUCUACUCACUGAGAGUAAAUGAAGACCUACAAUUCCUUGGCUGUGUCUGAGCACU
rnacentral:snoRNA from 12 species